rnacentral:rRNA from 2 species
CAGUAACGGCGAGUGAAGCGGCAACAGCUCAAAUUUGAAAUCUGGCUCCUUCGGGGUCCGAAUUGUAAUUUGUAGAGAGUGCUUCGGGCGAGACCUCGGUCUAAGUCCAUUGGAACAUGGUGUCAUAGAGGGUGAGAAUCCCGUAUGCGACCGUGGCUCGAGCCCAUGUGAAGCCUCUUCGACGAGUCGAGUUGUUUGGGAAUGCAGCUCAAAACGGGUGGUAAAUUUCAUCUAAAGCUAAAUACUGGCUGGAGACCGAUAGCGCACAAGUAGAGUGAUCGAAAGAUGAAAAGCACUUUGGAAAGAGAGUCAAACAGUACGUGAAAUUGUUGAAAGGGAAGCGCUUGCAACCAGACCUGCCCGUAGGCGAUCAGCCGCUGUUCUCAGCGGUGCACUCGCUCUGCGAUCAGGCCAGCAUCGGUUUCGGCGGUCGGAUAAAGGCCUUGGGAAUGUAGCUCCCCUUCGGGGGAGUCUUAUAGCCCUCGGUGCAAUGCGGCCAGCCGGGACCGAGGACCGCGCUUCGGCUAGGAUGCUGGCGUAAUGGUUGUAAGCGACCCGUCUUGAAACACGGACCAAGGAGUCUAACAUCUAUGCGAGUGUUUGGGUGUCAAACCCAUACGCGGAAUGAAAGUGAACGGAGGUGAGAACCCUUAAGGGCGCAUCAUCGACCGAUCCAGAUGUCUUCGGAUGGAUUUGAGUAUGAGCAUAGCUGUUGGGACCCGAAAGAUGGUGAACUAUGCCUGAAUAGGGUGAAGCCAGAGGAAACUCUGGUGGAGGCUCGCAGCGGUUCUGACGUGCAAAUCGAUCGUCAAAUUUGGGUAUAGGGGCGAAAGACUAAUC